rnacentral:misc_RNA from 1 species
AAAAGAAUUAAUUAUUAUACUCUAAUAUUAGUAUACCCACCAUAAUCCCAUAAGGGCGCCUGUAAAAUCUCUGCUUUUCUUUACCCUCGGCCCCCCAUACUCUGUUCUCUGUUAAAACCCUAAACCCAAUAUUCGUCUUCUCUCUUUGUCUCUGUCUCGUAUCAGUUGAGCCCUCAAACCCAAAAACACAACAUAAACACGGGGGGAGAGAGAGAGAGAGUGAGUGUAAGAGUAACUCUCUGUUAAUCAAUCAAAGCAUCGAAGCAGAAACAAUGAGUAAGCAAGAAAACAAAGAAAAUAAGAAAUUUUCAAUAUGGGAUUUGCCAGAUGUUCCAAUGGGCCAACUGCCACCACAUCUUCAGCUUCAAAGAACUCGUGUUGUUUGCAAAGCAGAUGCUCCUAUCCACNNNNNCUCUGGUGCCUAUGCCUCGAUGGGAGUCGAUAAUAGCAUACAUUUAGAUAGUUUCCGCAGCAACUUU